GUAUUAACCUAUUUUUUUUUAAAUAUAAUUGUUACCGGUUGUAGUCAAGAAGGUAUUGUAAUUUACGAUGUAUCCAAUUUCUGUUUGAAUUGUUUUAGAAUCAUGAACUAGGUGAACACAAGCAGCAGCCGAUGUGCUUGAGUUGCAGAUGGAGCAACUACGUUGUGAGAGGGCCACGGCUUCAGCCCUCACAAUGAUAGCUGAAGCAAUGAACAGACAGGCUGCAGUCAAUGAGAGGCUUCUUGAGCAGGGGCUCCUCAUAUGGAAAAAGGCUAAUGAAAGGAACAAUCAAGACCAGACUUAAAGUAAUGAUUUUAGCGGCGACGCAGUUGCGCGACCAGUGAAGCUCUGGCUCCGCGACCGGCGUGGAGCGCGCGGUCAGCGCGGCGCUGCUG